GACGAACGCUGGCGGCGUGCCUAACACAUGCAAGUCGAGCGGGGGACAAUGGCUUCGGUUAUUGUUCUAGCGGCGGACGGGUGAGUAACGCGUGAGCAACCUUUCUCUCAGCGGGGAAUAACACAGGGAAACUUGUACUAAUACCGCAUAAGACCACAGAAGGGCAUCCUUCAGGGGUCAAAGAUUUAUCACUGAGAGGUGGGCUCGCGUCUGAUUAGAUAGUUGGUGGGGUAACGGCCUACCAAGUCGACGAUCAGUAGCCGACCUGAGAGGGUGAUCGGCCACAUUGGGACUGAGACACGGCCCAA
rnacentral:rRNA from 1 species